UACAGAGGGUGCGAGCGUUAAUCGGAGUUACUGGGUGUAAAGGGCGCGUAGGCGGUGCCAUGUGUGUGAUGUGAAAGCCCCGGGCUUAACCUGGGAAGUGCAUCGCAAACUAUGGUGCUAGAGUAUAUGAGAGGGUGGCGGAAUUUCCGGUGUAGCGGUGAAAUGCGUAGAGAUCGGAAGGAACGUCGAUGGCGAAGGCAGCCACCUGGCAUAAUACUGACGCUGAGGCGCGAAAGCGUGGGGAGCGAACAGG
rnacentral:rRNA from 1 species